GAUGAACGCUGGCGGCGUGCCUAAUACAUGCAAGUCGAGCGAACAGACGAGGCGCUUGCUCCUCUGACGUUAGCGGCGGACGGGUGAGUAACACGUGGCUAACCUACCUUUAAGGCUGGGAUAACUUCGGGAAACCGGAGCUAACACCGGAUAAUAUAGUGAACGGGAGGGAUCAUUAGAGAAAGAGGGAUUUGCUGUCACUUAUAGGUGGAUCCGCGCCGCAUUAGCUAGUUGGUAAGGUAACGGCCUACCAAGGCGACGAUGCGUAGCCGACCUGAGAGGGUGAUCAGCCACACUGGAACUGAGACACGGUCCAGACUCCUACGGGAGGCAGCAGUAGGGAAUCUUCCGCAAUGGGCGAAAGCCUGACGGAGCCACGCCGCGUGUGUGAAGAAGGUCUUCGGAUCGUAAAGCACUGUUAGUAGGGAAGAACAACUGUGUGAUUAACUCUGCCCGUCUUGACGUUACCUACUCAAAAAGCACCGGCUAACUUCGUG
rnacentral:rRNA from 1 species